rnacentral:lncRNA from 1 species
GAGAGCUUUUACUUAAGCCAGUCCACAGGUAUUCUGGCUGCACCAUUCACAAUGAACGGAUCCGGUUGCAUUGAUUUAUUAAACACAUAUUUAUUGGUGCCUAUAAAAGCGCAGAGAGUCUUCUGGGAGCUGGGAUACAAUGCAUUUGGCAUGCUUUAUGGCCCUGCCUCAUUUUCCCAAGACGGUGGUUAUGUAACAUGAUGGAAGGCACCAAGCCCAGGAGCUGAUCAUAUCCAUGAUCUCCCAACUCCUCAAGAACCUCAUUUGGUAAGAAUUUUUCUUCUGUGUUCUCUUACAGAUAAGGAGCCUGACUCCCAGAGAGCCUCUAGGUCCCAAGGCCAGGAAAAGCAGAGCCUUCUCAGCUCUGAUUUUGCAGCCUCUGUACUCGUUUCACUGCACAUGGACAUUUCAAGAUACCUUCCCAGAUUAGUCACAUAAGAUUCUGAGGAUGUUCUCUCCACAGUCAACUUUGCUCAGGGAGAAGAGAUUUCUGCUCCAUCUCCUGGAGGAAAUAGAAUUGGAGCAACACUUCUGGCUCCCCCUCCAUGGCCCUCACCUACUGCCUGCCCCUCUUCACUUCCAACAAGUAAGGAGGAAGAAUGACUCAUCUGAUUGGUGAGAUCAUGUCCAAGGUCACUGCUUUUGGUGACUCUUCUCUCAGAGUAACUAGCUCAGAAUUUUCUUUGCCUUCUCUACUUUCCCCAAGAUAUAUCCUUGUAUCUGAUUGUGGGGGGUGGGGAUGGUGGUGGAAAAGAAGUUUCCUAUAGAACUUUUUGAACCAAAGAAGAUUUGAGUCAUGUCCUCCAACACAGUAAAUCCCCCUUUAUUUGGGGGCAGGGGAACAAGGUAAGGCUAACUUUGAUCCUCAUCUGAGCCCUGUUUUCAAUUUUGUUGGAACUGGGGGGAGGGGGAAGCAAGGCAUGACAAUAAUUGGCUGUAUGCCUGGCCUGCAGGCCCACUCCUAAUUGGUUCUCCUGGCAGAGGGUUCCUGUUGAGUACUUUUCCUUCAUUCCAGAAAAGUGCUGUCAUCCUCCGUGGUAUCUAUAAGCAGGUAGGAAGGAUAAUAAGGGGAGGCACUGAGGUAAAGAGAGGUAAUUUACAGUGGGAAGGUAUUGUGUGACCCAAAGGUGAAGUGGUAAAAUGCACACGAGAAUGUGUUGAGGAAGUCUGCCUUUCCUGCAUUCUGCCAGUCCCAGGCUAGAGUUCCAGUCCUGCCUCCUUCUAGCUGUGUGACAUUACAAAACUUCCUGGACCUUUCUCAAUUGUCCAAGCUGUAAAAUGGGACAAUUAUAGUGCCUGCCUCAUGAGAUUGUUUUGAGGAUUAAAUAAAUUAUUCUUCAGUGUUAAACA